UUGGAGGGCAAGUCUGGUGCCAGCAGCCGCGGUAAUUCCAGCUCCAAUAGCGUAUAUUAAAGUUGUUGCAGUUAAAAAGCUCGUAGUUGAAUUUCGGGAUCAAAUAAUCGGUCGUGCCUCCGGUACGUACUGGUUUUAUUGGUUCCUCCCUUCUGACGAACCAUGAUGUCAUUAAUUUGAUGUGGUGGAGAAUCAGGACCGUUACCUUGAAAAAAUUAGAGUGUUUAAAGCAGGCUAACGCUUGAAUACAUUAGCAUGGAAUAAUGAAAUAGGACGUUCGACCCUAUUUUGUUGGUUUCUAGGAUCGACGUAAUGAUUAAUAGGGAUAGUUGGGGGCAUUAGUAUUCAAUUGUCAGAGGUGAAAUUCUUGGAUUUAUUGAAGACUAACUAUUGCGAAAGCAUUUGCCAAGGAUGUUUUCAUUAAUCAAGAACGAAAGUUAGGGGAUCGAAGACGAUCAGAUACCGUCGUAGUCUUAACCAUAAACUAUGCCGACUAGGGAUCGGAUGAUGUUAAUUUUUUAAUGACUCAUUCGGCGCCUUACGGGAAAC
rnacentral:rRNA from 1 species